GAGUCAUUCUCGCUGAAUCUUUUGUAAUUUAACAAAGAACGGGGGAACCGAUAUAGUGGUCUGCUGCUAGUCAGAAGAUGGAAUUAAGAGAGUUGUCUCUCUUGCUCUGACCACUGUAUUUGAUUUCAACACUUGAGUCUUGGGGUGAACGUAAAGGACAGCUGCCAUGAGCAGCCUGGAUCUGAGCGGGGGCGACUCUUACGCCCGAACCCGACAGCUAACUCCGUAAGCGUAUUGAAGAGGCAAA
rnacentral:sRNA from 2 species